GAUGAACGCUGGCGGCGUGCCUAAUACAUGCAAGUCUAGCGAACAGAUGAGGAGCUUGCUCCUCUGACGUUAGCGGCGGACGGUUGAGUAACACGUGGAUAACCUACCUAUAAGACUGGGAUAACUUCGGGAAACCGGAGCUAAUACCGGAUAAUAUAUUGAACCGCAUGGUUCAAUAGUGAAAGAUGGUUUUGCUGUCACUUAUAGAUGGAUCCGCGCCGCAUUAGCUAGUUGGUAAGGUAACGGCUUACCAAGGCAACGAUGCGUAGCCGACAUGAGAGGGAGAGCGGGCAGACUGGAAAUGAGAAACGGUCAAGAGUGCUACGGGAGGCAGCAGUAGGGAAUAUGCCGCGAAGGGCGAAAGACUGACGGAGCAACGCCGCAAGAGUGAUGAAGGUAUUCGGAUCGUAAAAAGCUGUUAUUAGGGAAGAAAAAUUGUGUAAGUAACUAUGCACGUCUUGACGGUACCUAAUCAGAAAGCCACGGCUAAAUACGUG
rnacentral:rRNA from 1 species